rnacentral:sRNA from 2 species
CAUAUAGCGAGUGAUCUUCUCCUCCCUUGAUCGCUCGCACCGGAUCGGCGGCGCUCCUCCUCCCAGUUGCCGAUCACAGUUUGGAAAGCCUGCCGCACCUCCUCCCGCGGCAGGCUUUUCUG